rnacentral:rRNA from 1 species
GUGCCAGCAGCCGCGGUAAUACGAAGGGGGCAAGCGUUGUUCGGAUUUACUGGGCGUAAAGGGCGUGCAGGCGGACCGAUAAGUCGUCUGUGAAAUCUGUCGGCUCAACCAACAACUUGCAGUCGAAACUAUCGGUCUUGAGUACAGGAGAGGAGAGCGGAAUCUCAGGUGUAGCGGUGAAAUGCGUAGAUAUCUGGGAGAACACCGGUGGCGAAGGCGGCUCUCUGGCCUGAUACUGACGCUGAGGCGCGAAAGCUAGGGGAGCGAACGGGAUUAGAUACCCCGGUAGUCCUAGCUGUAAACGAUGGGUACUAGGUGUUGGAGGUAUUGACCCCUCCAGUGCCGCAGCUAACGCAUUAAGUACCCCGCCUGGGGAGUACGGUCGCAGGGCUGAAACUCAAAUAAAUUGACGG